UAAAUUCUUGUUUGUGCCUCAGUCUGAGC
rnacentral:piRNA from 1 species